rnacentral:tmRNA from 2 species
GUCCUUUCAUCCGGCGGUGCGAGUGCCUAUAUUCGCUCUGCCAGCUUGCUGGCUAUGGCGAUAAACGGUGCGUGGAAUAAGCGUUGUGGACCCGGGGGCGGUACCCGGCGCCUCCACCAUACUCCCCGAAGCGUCGGGGAACAUGGGGGCGAAACAGGCUCGACACGCGCGGUAAAGACACAUCUUUUGCCCGGCAUGGUUCCGCCGUUAUCGGGCCGUAUGAUAAGUGCCAACGACAAUCAGGCGCUCGCUGUCGCUGCAUAAGCGAUAAGCGCGGUACGGGGGGCACCGGGCAACAGAAGCCCCCCAACU